UCCUGUGUUGCUGCGCAUGCCCGUGUCCUCCGGGCAUAGUAGCCGAGGGGGCGUGUUGUGUUUGCCGCGCAGACACAUGCUCAUUAUUUUGUAAUGGGCAGUCACAGUGAUUUGUAUGACAGCUGCCAGCCCAAGCGAAAGUUCCAGGAGAGGGCUACCUAACAGGUGCUGUGGCCUUUAGGAGAGGAAUGGAGUCACUAUCCACCUACACGUGUGGGGAACAAGCAUUCCUUCCAGAUAAGAAGCCACCACCCAUGGAGUGGUUCUGACCAGUCUGCAGAGGAUGUGCAGGGAGGGGUUUUGUGUCCUCUGCUUCACCUUUUGACAUCAUCGGGCUGAAAACCACCCUUGGAUCAUGCUAACACUGCCAUUUUUUGUACCUACAAUUUAUGAAGGGGCAUGAAGUUCAACCGCACAUGCACAUGUUUCUUUUUUCAUAAGUAUUCCUUCUCCUCCUAUAGCUUAUUAAAUAUGUAUG